UCGUCUCCUUGUUCCUUGUGUAUUCCCCUUUCUGUCUGAACCGAGCUGUUGUGUCUCGUCUAAUACUUAGGUAGCAAGUUCUGUAAAAAAAAAAUAAUUCAAAAACCAUCACUUUGCUUUGUAUUUUAGGUGACUCCUGACCAUGAAGUUCUGGUUCACAACCCGGACUGCUCUGCUAGCGUUAUGGUCACUGUGCCCACUGAAAUUAAUGCUGUUAUUCCACGUAUUCAUAGUGUUAGUGAGAAGCAGGCAGAUAAAAGCGGAUGGAAAGCUGGCUGACGUGUGCAGUAGGUACUUGUGGCUUGAAAAGAAAUACCUUAAAACGUGCCCCAUGAAUUAAUUGGCUUUUGCUAUAUAGAAAGGAGGCAAGUCUCUAACGUGGUAAUUUAAAUCUUUAACAAAAUACCAGUUAAAAAAAUCUUUGAAUGAUGGCUCAUGGGAGGAAAAUAAGGAAGGCUCUAAGAUAACUGCUUUUGAAAUGUAGGAAAACAUAAUACUGAGUUCCUGAUGUAUUAAACUGCAGGAGGCUACAGGGCGUGCUUCAUCUACUCAGUAGGAGAUUCAAUGCCAGUGUCACUGGAGAGUAAUCGUCAGGAGAAUUGAACUGGAUGCGUGGCGAGGAGUCAAGAAAAUAGUAAGAGACCAGUUCUUGUCCUUUUA